rnacentral:lncRNA from 1 species
CUGGGAUGGGUUAUGGAGAAGGCAAUACAGAGCAGGGAGUUUUGGGGGGGCUUCUCCUUGCCUUGGGUCAGUGCCCAAGGGGCCCUUCAUCCCCCUCCAACGUUGUCCCCCUGGCUGGAAGGCAGCAAGCUGCUACAACUGGCCUCAAUGCAGGCUUUCCAGCACGCAGGAAACAGGAAGGAGCGUUAUUUCUCAACAUAGAACAAACAGAAGACAGAAUUAACUCUAUCUUAAAGCUGCAUUACCACCCUGCUAUUCGCUUCCUGACUUCAGCUCAAGUGCCUACAGGCCCUGUCCUGCUAAGCUCUGUACAAGGCCUGACAUUUGACACCCAAGACCCCAGGACUUACACAGAGGCACAAGCGGAGGCCCUGGGGAAGAGCUCCAUGGUCACAGGACACCAGCUUUGGCCGUACUACAUUGUCAUUCAUUCCUCCCUGCCACACGCGUGCCUGACCAUAUAGGAAAAUGAGUUUACAACCGACUACGCCUAUGGGACUCCCGGAGGGAUACAAUGUGAGAGCCUUUACUAGUGGUGGAUGGUCCUCAAAAGGUUUGAAAGUUUGGUAAGUACGUCCUUAACCAAACUCUUUUGACCUUUAUUCAGAUUUGUUUUUGGAGAAGGGCAAAGGGUUGGGCCAAUUCUUGUUUCACCCAACUGGCUUGUCC